UAAAACAGAUGCGCUUGAAAGAGAUGAUGA
rnacentral:piRNA from 1 species